GUGCCAGCCGCCGCGGUAAUACCGGCAGCCCGAGUGAUGGCCGAUCUUAUUGGGCCUAAAGCGUCCGUAGCCAGCCGAACAAGUCCGUUGGGAAAUCCACCCGCCUAACGGGUGGGCGUCCAGCGGAAACUGUGCGGCUUGGGACCGGAAGAUCCAAGGGGUACGUCCGGGGUAGGAGUGAAAUCCCGUAAUCCUGGACGGACCACCGAUGGCGAAAGCACCUUGGAAGGACGGAUCCGACAGUGAGGGACGAAAGCUAGGGUCUCGAUCCGGAUUAGAAACCCCUGUAGUCC
rnacentral:rRNA from 1 species